GAGGGCAUAGCUUAGUGGUAGAGUGAGUGCUUAGCAUGCAUGAGGUCCUGGGUUCAAUCCCCAGUACCCCCG
rnacentral:tRNA from 1 species